GAUGAACGCUGGCGGCGUGCCUAAUACAUGCAAGUCGAGCGAACAGACGAGGAGCUUGCUCCUCUGACGUUAGCGGCGGACGGGUGAGUAACACGUGGAUAACCUACCUAUAAGACUGGGAUAACUUCGGGAAACCGGAGCUAAUACCGGAUAAUAUGUUGAAUCGCAUGGUUCAACAGUGAAAGACGGUCUUGCUGUCACUUAUAGAUGGAUCCGCGCCGCAUUAGCUAGUUGGUAAGGUAACGGCUUACCAAGGCAACGAUGCGUAGCCGACCUGAGAGGGUGAUCGGCCACACUGGAACUGAGACACGGUCCAGACUCCUACGGGAGGCAGCAGUAGGGAAUCUUCCGCAAUGGGCGAAAGCCUGACGGAGCAACGCCGCGUGAGUGAAGAAGGUCUUCGGAUCGUAAAACUCUGUUAUUAGGGAAGAACAAAUGUGUAAGUAACUAUGCACGUCUUGACGGUACCUACUCAGAAAGCCACGGCUAACUACGUG
rnacentral:rRNA from 1 species